rnacentral:rRNA from 1 species
UACGUAGGGCGCAAGCGUUGUCCGGAAUCAUUGGGCGUAAAGAGCUCGUAGGUGGUCUGUUACGUCUGCUGUGAAAACCUAGGGCUUAACCCUGGGCCUGCAGUGGAUACGGGCAGACUAGAGGUAGGGAGGGGAGAAUGGAAUUCCCGGUGUAGCGGUGAAAUGCGCAGAUAUCGGGAGGAACACCGGUGGCGAAGGCGGGUCUCUGGGCAGUAACUGACGCUGAGGAGCGAAAGCGUGGGGAGCGAACAGG